rnacentral:rRNA from 1 species
AGAUUGAACGCUGGCGGCAUGCCUAACACAUGCAGGUCGAACGGGAGUAGCAAUACUCUAGUGGCGGACGGGUGAGGAAUACGUAGGAAUUUGCCCUUAAGUGGGGGAUAACCCGGGGAAACCCGGAUUAAUACCGCAUGACCUCGAAAGAGCAAAGUGGGGGAUCGCAAGACCUCACGCUUUUGGAGAAGCCUACGUCGGAUUAGCUAGUUGGUGAGGUAAUGGCUCACCAAGGCGACGAUCCGUAACUGGUCUGAGAGGAUGAUCAGUCACACCGGAACUGAGACACGGUCCGACUCCUACGGAGGCAGCAGUGGGGAAUA